CCCGCCUUUACUGUAGCCAUUCGAAAACACUUUUAAAAAAUUGCUAUUUUCACCACUACAGUUAUCGAAACAUUUCCAUGUUCUUUGUUUGCAUAUCUACUGUUUUUCGAUAGCGCAAUUAGAUAGGCCCACUGUAAAUCUUUUGGCACUGCAAAAAACGUACAAUUUGCAAGCUUGGCGUGAAAUAAAGCAUGCGACAUUUUCCUUUUUUUUUUUUUGGCAGUUCCUGUUGUAUAAUAACCGUUGUUUCGUCGCGUAGUUUCAACUCUCUGAAAAAUUUUUAAUAUUUUUAGAGUUAGCUUCUGAUUCUUAUGAUUGCGAUUAAAGGCUGCCAGUGCCAUCAGUGUAACAAUUUCACGUACCGGUCCGCAGUGUGCGUUUAACAAACACUUUGCCGUAGACGCGGAGGAGGCACAAUGCUGCUCAUACUAACAGCUGUUAUCCACACUUGCAUUUUUUUCGAAUUAGACCUGCAUUUAGCUUGGUGUUUGCACAACAGUAGCAAUAGUACUAAUAAAGACUGUAGGGGUUAGGGCCAACGACUAUAAGGAGAAAGAGAGAGAGAAAGAAAUGCUCUGAGGUGACCUUCAGCUAUCAGUAAAAUUACGUUUUCGAGAAAAACUGUACAGUAAAUAUUACCAUACUCAUUUUGAUUUGCACUCAUCUGGCUUGGAGCAAAGUUGACCGCUUGUUAUUCGUGUGACUUCAGUCGUGUAUUUAAAUAGCAUGUAUUGAAUGAUAUGAACCGGACCAAACGCUGUUUUGACCGCUUUUCCAUGUAGCAAUGCUUUCGCAUUUCAGAGAAAAGUAUGCUUAAUUGUUCACUGGCUUCUGGCAUUAGUACUGUUAGAGUUUUCAACAGCCUGAAAAAACCCUCCUGUAUUAAACAAUCCACUCGGAGAAUGGCUCUUCCUUCACCAGAAAUUCUUCCUCGGGUAUCCGCGCUACUUGUUUUUGUUCUGCCUCAGUUGUGGCUGACUCGAAAGUUAGCUUAUAUGACUCGAACAAAAAAAAAACAAGCUAAUAGGGCAUAAGCUGCAGAACGAAAAAAGGGUUGCUGUGGAACACCUGAAUUAUAGUAAGUUCCGGCUACCGUGAUCGUAUAGUUUUUUCCGAUGCAGGACCGUGGUAUCUAGCUUGGCAUGGUAACUAACCAUGAAAAGAAAACACAGAGUAUGCCUAACUUUAUUCACGAAACUACUAACAUCUGAACAGUAGUUAAGCUGAACCAACAAGUCUGCUAUCUAUUGUGUUUAAGGCCUGCGUACAUUAACGGCACCACACUGUCUAUAGCCGCUACCACUUUUUGAAAUGUCCUUUUCGUGGGUCAACCUCUCCCAAGGGCUUGGAAUUCGAUCGGCAACAAGCGAUUAUACCAGGCUUAUCGUUUGAACGAUACCACUCUAUAUAAAGUAGAUAAAUUGAUAGUUCCACAAUAAACGGCAUGCGGUUAUCUUUUUACUGGCGCACACAAUUGGCGAAUGGACUUAAAGUGUAUAUAACAGUAACUAUCAUUUCUUGGCACGUUACUCGGCGUUCGCGUAUCAGUAAUAUAUUUGAAUUGAACUGAAUUAAAUGAUAAGUCUACGGAUCUUUAUCAAUAAUCUAAACUGACAUUUUUCACUGAGAAUUUCCUUAUUAUUUCGUUUGUUUUGCUCAAUAUAUACCUAUUUAUAUACAUAACAGAUACAUUCAAGUCCAGUAGGACCUCUAAAACGUCCUUUCUGAUUUAAGAGAUACUUGUUUCUUUUGCAAAUAGCAUAAAUAUCUGGUGCAGUGUUAUUUAUCUAUCAGAAAGCUUUAUGAUAUACAAUACUUUACGAAAAUUGAGCUGUAGUAUAAUAAGAAACCUUGGAACAACCGUUUUUUUGUUAGAAAAAUCGCUGACGUCAAUCUGAUUAAAGUCCAUCAGAGAACAAUAUUUUCUAUGUUUCCCAAUAAAUCGCAGCUCGCCAAUAGCGGCCUAUUAAUUCGUCUUUUCUUAAACCUCAUGGGUCUCAGGCGGUAAGGCUUUCCAACUCUUGGUAUCGGUUGACUUCCGGUGUGUAACUGUUGCAUCCGUUUUGUGUACCUCCGGUCCGAACAGCGACGUCGGGUGGCGUGUUCUGGGCACCGGAAGCUCUGCAGUGCUCCUUUGGAGGUUUCGAUGCUGUUGUGAUGUGCAGCGUGACGUCGCGGCAUGUGGCAGAUUACCCCCGGUGAGGUCGUUCAGUCAUAGUGGCCCAUUGGGCUAACCGAAUCCCCAAACUUAGUCUCCAAAGAGGCACUUUUAAGAUCUUCAAAAUGCCGUGUGUUGAACUUUAUUCGGUGUAUCCGAUUGCAAGAUUAAUUUUGAAAAUACCCGUUAUUUUCGAAAACAUGCACCAGGCAUGUCUUUCGUCAGUAUUAGUUGUGUGCUGCGGUAAACGGUUGAGAUUUAAAGCGAUACCACAGAUAGUUCCUUUUUUAAAUUUAAUUAGAAUGAUUUUGCUUACUUGCAGAAGAAAAUAGCAUUCUCAAUCCUGGUAUUAAGCUGUCUCCUGUCAUAUAUGUAUUCUAGAUGAUUUUUGCUAGCCAUGCAAAUGCUAUAUUCUAUCUACUGGUCGUGUGCUGCCCCUGUAAUAUAUCCAGUUUUUAGAAACUUAACAACUUUGCGAUAGUGCCGUGCGCGCAAUUAUUACGAUACAAUCAGGCAUUGUAAGCAAUCUACGUACACUCGAAUUGACUGUUACAAACUGGUUUUAUUUGGCCAAUAGCUCACUGGAAAAUCCUCUUCUUUCACAUAUUUCGAAAUUUGCCGUGACCCGGGAGAACAGAACGCGUUAAUGUAUUCACCUGUCUAUUUAAACACAUAAAUUUAUAUACAUACUGUAACAGCGUGUCAUUUCGGUACGAUCACAAAUGUAAUGGCUGAUUUGAAUGAUUCCUCAGCUGUAUGUAUCAUUGAGUGUGUUUGAUAUAAUGCAUUACUCGAGUCUGAGACCUCACACAGGUGGAAUAAAUUCAUGCAUAAUUUGACACUGGUAAGAUCAUGAAGACUACGAGUGAUUUUACCGAUCAAUAGGCAAUUAAUGUGUUUAUCAAACCUGUCUGCAGUGGUGCCUUGGAAUUAUAACAAAAUUUGUGUUACAAGUAAAGAUUUUCUUUAUCACCACUGUCGUUGCAUGACAAGUACGUAUAUGAUGACCUUGUCUUAUGUCACGCAUAUUGUGUACCUCGGGCUAUCGUUCCUUAACUGACUUAACCACUUAUAUUGUAAACUACUAUAAUAGCCUACAAUAUAGGUAAUAUUAGUAUUAUUCUUAGGUAUUGUUUACAUACAAACAUCUCAACUAGGUGUUUCGUUGGAUAUAAUCACUAAUAUAAAAGGAAUAUGACCGUUCACGACAAGGUUUGUGAACAAUGUCACGAUAGUCAUCGCGAAUAAUCAUAUCAUUUUCCGAUGAUCCUUGCAUUAUGUUUGAAACCUUACUCGUAGCUCUAUGUAUGAGAGGAUGGUGUUUAUGAUUCUAAAUAAAGGUUUUCGAAACAUUUCCAUAUGCGUGAUCUCAGGAAGCAUGAUGUAUUUUCGUGAAAUAAAUAUUUAAUAAUAGGUCUUACAGUUUGGUGCGAGGAAAAGCUUCAGCUAGAGGCAUACCCUACUAAAGCCCAAAUUACAUUUGUUAAUUAAGCUGCAAAUUUACUCAACUCUAUUCUAACAAAACGUUCAUCCUUGCUUCAUCUUCAGCUAUUGAAUACAAAAUAAGUCUGGGUAGCUAGCAACAGCCGUGGGUAUAGUGUAGUGAAUAAAAUAAAAUUGUGUCCCAAAUCAUCGCUAAAUGCCUGUCACGAAACCUACAAGUAAAAGCUACGUAAGAAAAUCGAGAACAUAACCUGUAGGUACAAUUAUUUAUAACCUGUCAAAACAUCUGCCGAAUUAAACUGGGUUUAUAGAGUAAAACGACAAUGUGCGAUUGCUGUGUCAUGUUUCUGCCCCGAAGCGAAAAAGAGUAGGAAUUAAAGGAAAGUUUUAAUACCGAUUAACGUAAGCUUAUUAUUCUCUAAAAUUAUCAAGAAUACCACUCAUCGCUACAAUUUUGAGUGACAAAAUGGGCAUAUUAUCAGCCUUGACUUGAUAUUUUAAUGCGUUUGAUAGCCAUUGUAUUUCUAAUGAAGCGCUCUUUACUAUACUAAUCAAACAGACCCAAUUGUGUCGGGUAAAAAGUUCCAUUACAAACUGAACGACUGGAAAGCCUUCUCUAAUACCAAAGGUACAGACGUCGGGGUUGACAUCCAGUUACUUGUGCAUCGCUUUGCCGACAUCUUUUGAUGUUUCUACCUUGGCGCAGAGUUGCUCGCUGCUUCUUAAUUAUGAUUCGUGCUAAUUACUCAGCCAUGUCGAGGUCCUCGAAAUCAUUUGAAUCCAAGGUAAAUCAGAAGCUCCAGAUCACGAAUCUGUUUUAGGUUUGCUAGUAUUUUUUUUUAGUACCUAGAUUGUUGUAUUACGCGGAUCUCACAAGCCAUAUUACCAAAGUAAGCGUUAUAGAAACUGUAUAUAGUAAGUACCCGUUAUAGAAACUGAUAUCUACCAUUUGUUUAAUGUAAGCUACAGCCAAAGGGUGCCAAUAUGUUCCCAACGCCGACUCCGUGCUCAGACAAGGUGCAUUAAUCGGUACCUUCAUACAUGUUGGCGCUUGUUUCGGGGAUUUUCCAGCGACUCUCCUCAUGCGAUCGAGUAUGUUGACUAUUCUACCCAAAGAGCGUCUUGUCGUUGUUCAUUUGCCAAUUGGUACUUCGCUAUUGAUUUAUUUCACUCAUGCCUUUGGGCUGAAAUCGGUCAGCGCCAUCUUAGUCUGGUGCCCAUCGUGCUGAUCUGUUAGAAAGACGUUAUAGGACAGAACAGCGCCCGGUAGAACCGAAUGAAAUCUUUUAUCGUCGCCAUAGGUAAAACUCGUACAACCACACGUUAUACGGUGAUCUACCUGUAUUUACGUUUUGUUCACCAUAAGAUAUUGUUAUUACAGCCACUCGUAAUCUAAAUGGCAAUACUUGAUAUACCGUUUUCAUUAGGGGGUAACUACGGGUGCUGGUAGUGCCACACGAGUUUUUCGGUAUAAUUAGACUUUGCUUUGUUGUAUACCACGUAUAUUAUUAGAGUGGAUUGAAUCCCGGGGUCUUUCGGUAUCAUCUCAACCGCCAGAAGGGAUUUUGCUAAUUUUCUGACGAGUCCGGGUAAAUGUUCUACCCGCGCCGUUCCAACUAUCCAUAUAUACACACAUGAUACACGCAACAAUUAAGUACGAAUUUUACGGAGUUUUGUGUAACACGCUAUCGAAACACCGAGAUAGCUAUAUAUCCGGCAGGACAAUUGCGUAGCACAAUCUAAUUUCAAUUGCUUUAAUUACGUGUUGGAUAAUCGGUACCUUUUAGGAUGAUUUUUUGAUUCAGUACUUGUAGCAAGUUUACAACUUAGUUGUUACAAAAUAAAACUUACGCAUCAUUUGAUUGCUAUCAAUUUCUUUUGGGGUUAAAUGGAUAGCCUAUGCUGAUUGGCCUUGUAGCCUAAACAAACGAUAUUGCCCUUAACAAGGAAUUUAUUUUACAAAGUACGAUUAUUUUACUUGCUUCUUGUGCAGACAAAUAACGUUAAAGUAUUUAAUAAUGCCCCAUUUCUACAAUCUACAUACAUCGAAUGCAUAUAAAUACGAUACAUCUCUAUGGGCCAAACUGAGCUCGGACUGAGAGGCUAAAUGAUGUGUGCUCAUGGAAAGAUAUCCCUGAACUUCGUUGUUGAUAUGCCAAAUAAUUGUUUUUUUUUUUAUGAUACGGUCCCCGUCACCGUUAGUUUUAGCAUUGCUUAAAGUGCUAAAGUAUUAAUGCUAAGAAAAUACACAACCUGUUAAUGAGCUAAUAAUCUGUUUCUGCAAUUUAUCUGCUUUGAUUUGGCAGUACUGGGGAUUGAAGGUCACUGUAUCCAUCGUUUGUCGGUGAUGUGAUCGGCUAUAGGACAGCUGUGCUCCAAAUCACCUGAUUAGCGGUACCACGAAUUUCAUGUACAAUGUUACCAUAAAUCAAUGUGCUAACACCAUGAUUGGCAAUAAUCGCCAUAAGACAUCCAACAACGUUACAAUUGGCGGUAAAUAUACUGGUGUGACAUGUAAAUGGAAAAAAAUUAUGCAUAUGUAUAUUCCUAUGUUUAUUAUAAUAUGUCCGCAAAGGAAGGCUAUGCUAUAAUGCCACUAUACAUGUGGCCCAGGUACAUGGCGUUGCGUAAAGUACUUCCAGGAUGAAAAAGAUUAGCGGACACGCAUACGUUGUUCCGUGACGGAAGCCAAACGUCAAAGCUAAAAUGCAAAACAUUAACUUAUCUUGGAUAAAAAAAAGGUUGCAAAACUGCUUUAAGUUUGUCCUAACUGCGUCACUGGAUAAUCGGGCAUGGUAACCAGCGAUAUAAACAAAGGAAAUAUACAUCCUAUAUAGCAAACCUAGGGUAUUCAUGUGCAAAUAUACGGUAGUAGCGGUCACAAUGUGUUUUAGAACCAUCAGGAGUUAAAUUGCCUAGUAGACUGCAAAAUAUCGAUUAUAUAUAUUUCGAACUUGAGACAAAAACGCAAAAUGAUCGAGCUCGGUAAAGUAUGCGUAUAUAAAUUGGGCCACGAAAAAAUUUUCUAAAAUAUUCCACUUCCUUCUUCGUCCGGUACUAUGUUCACCGCUGCAUCAUGACAAUGCGCCUGGUUGAUUACGAAAAAUGUUAACCGCAAACACACGACACUAAUUACGAUAAUAAUAUGAAUGCUGUAAAAAAUGUUAACCGUUUAUUUUUUUUUAAUUUAAUAUUUUAUUUUAAUAACUUAAUGUUUAAAUUUGCCAUUGUUGCUUGAGCCGCGCUUCCGUAGACCGUUUCAUGAUUGAAGCCAGUUGUCUGGAAUACUGCCGAACGGCUGAAGUACCGGAUUUAAGAGCACGAAAAAACAGAAUAUCCAUUCAGGUAUGCAGCAUCACCUGUCUCGUUGUUGCCUACCCAUUUUCGAACCAGUCAGUCUUUUCGUUAACUGUCGUCUGCUCAGUUCGAUAGCUACAGAAAUCGGCAUGAUCAGUUGUUUAAUUUUUGCAGUUGACUUCUACGAGUUACGCAUUGAUUCUUAUUAUGAAUCAUAUGUAUGUAAAGACUAAGAAUAUUUAUAUUGGUUGUCGUUAGACAAUCGGUGAGAAAUGUUGAUGGAAACCGGUUAAAUACUGACGACUGAAAUAAUUCGUUUGCUAGCUUAUCCGCUUUAUCAUGUGUAUGUACAAUUCCAUGCUUCAUCGCUUUUGUCCAAAACAAGCUUCCAUAACAAAAUUGCUAGAUAAUUGCAGUGCAUGAGGAGUUAACCUUCAGUCAGUUCUACAUCUAACUCGAAUUGUAAAUGCUGAAAUUUUGUUGGGUACUAGGAAAUGGUUUUCGCGACGAGUGUGAUAAUAAUAUACUAAAGAAUGGUAAACAGGAAAUUAAUGCUGUGGAGCAUAGGAAAUGAAAAAGCGUGGCGAUCGUACGAGAGUUCGCUACAUAGACUCGCAACUGCGAAGUGCAACGCCGCGGAGAGAACGUUUUUCAUGUGCUUGUUGGUAAGCUCGUGGCAGUUCCUGGAACAGAACCAGCAGUUCCCGUGAAUGCUGAAGUGACACUAACUUUGGCCUUGAAAAACUUUGUCCUGAACAAAAUAACAAUUUGCGACGAGGUACUGAUUUGAGUAGGCGGCCCGAGCAUUCCAACAGCUCGCCUUUCGUCCGUAUGCUUAGCCCGCAUUAUGCCCAUUGGCCUGAAGCUAUGAAAUUCAUGAGUGCUGAAGAACAGGCCUACGUUUGGAUACAUCCAUUCAUCGCGUCUGGAUCAUCUAAGUUCCUCUAUGGAGUCAGUUCUGCCGAACAGUGAAUUAAUGUGUGAGCUAUCCUUAGUUAGAUGACUCUUGAAUUUGCAAUUUCUCGUUUCAGUGUUGAAGUUUUGACUUGAUGCAAACUGUUUACGAAGAUCGAAGCAGAGCUCAAAAACUUCUUGCUCUGCAAACAUUGCACCAAAUCGUUAAACUGUAAGAAUCAAUACGUAACACUUCUCGAUGGCUCAGACCCAGGCGAGGAACUAUUAUUAUAUAAUUGGCCGGCGACUACAAAAAAACAACAGACGCAAUAUUAAGGAUAUAAAUAGCAUCUCUCUUCGAGGAAAUCGAGGAGCAUGUCUAAACCAAGAAAUCAACUAUAUAUAUUAAGGGUGGCUUUUUGGACGCGAUUCUCAACGAUAAUAAAAAUCGCGAAAAAUCAAAGACUCCUACUUAAUUGUUAUCGAAGAUCUGUACAACAAACUGGAAAUAAUUAUUCCAUAAAAAUAGGACUGCAAAAUAAAAACUAGUCUCGUUUUUGUGAGAACUAGACACGUCAAUUCAUCGUCGACGUCGUCUCUAUCGUUUACGAUCAGAUUUUCAUAUUAAUCAUUUUCGAUGUUUACCAAUAGACUUGCUUAUUUCAACAUUUAGUUAUUUCGUGUGAUAAGGGCGCAGAUCAAAAUCGUGUACGGCAUUUGUCCUGCGCUACGAAGAUACUCAAGUAUACUGGGUAGGUAUUCUGUAUACGAUAAAAUAGGUUAUUAGAUCUCUUGCGAUUUUAGCAACUAUGCAUUUAAUGUUAUCAAUAUUUAACCUUAUCUUAUGUAAGCCAGCCCAUUGAAAACCCCUUCAACUUAACCGCUAACGGGCGGGGUGAUCUACACCUUGACAAAAUAAAAGAUAGACCUAAAAUAGGAAAAUUUAUUAGAGAAAAAAUGCUUCCAGUUUAAAGGGUAUGCCAUUGGUCAUUACUACAGAGUAUACAAAGCAAUAUUGGGAUGUCUUGAAGAAGGUGCUCAUUAGUACUUUGUGCUGUUAAACUGCUCAUUUCCAUGCUUUGUUAUUCCAACUAACAUAGAAAGAACUGAUGAUGUAUUUCCGUCAUGCCGCUAGUUCUCACGAUCGUGCGUGACUUUAAGGGAAUCAGAAACAGAAAUUUUAAUGGAUCUCUUUAACGCCUUUCGUCACCACUAUCGAGUGAUAGUACAAACGUAAAUUAAAACAAUUAGCUAUUGGAAACGCCCACAUAUUGUUUACUAUUAUUCAAUCUCAAAAGAAAAGGAAAAAUCCAAGAAAAUAUUUAAGCACAGGGAUUUUAAGAUUACGUUGCCAAUUUCUGUCUGUGACCGUCUAAAUCAGCGUUACACGAAUCGAGUGGAAAACAAUUUCUAAGCCUUGUUUCAUAAGUUGAAUACUGCUGCUAAUUGAGUCACUGUUGAGUGUUUCGGCCUGCAAUUAUGCAACGAAGUUCCCUCAUUUAAUACUCGCUUUUUAGCAACAGCCGGGCUGUCCGCAAGUGCUUCAAAUCCGAAUAGAAUUUUUAUGCCACGCAGAUCUAUUUCAAUACUUAAUAUAGUUUAUUAUUUAUUGUACCUAUUCCACCGAAAUAAAUAUAUGUGACGUAAAAAAAAAGUACCGAGUGCACCAUCUUCAAUAUGAUCGAACACGUUUCUUAGUUACGCGUCUGUCACCUUUCCCUCUUCCCUGUCAAAAGGAAGUACACUGCUGAAAUACUAUGCAUUGUUCCUUCCGUGCAGAGGUAGCAAUUUAUUCUAUAUCUCCCUUAACAUCAAGUUACAAGUCGUUACAUAAAAUUAGAUCUUUGUUCGAAAAGUAACUUUAGCUCCUUUCUUCAUGUGUAUAUAUAUAUGCAUUCCGUAUGCUUAUAUUUAGGGUGCAUUCAAGUGCAGCUCGUGCAGAUCACUGAGCUGCUUACGUGUAUGUUGCUUUGCAAUAGUGUAAAAGAUCCUCAGUGAUACUUACAUAGAAAUAAGUUGCAACUGUCUGAGACUUCUGUCUGUCAAGAUGAUAUCAUAUUGAUUGUUAAAAGUUGAGAUGAAAUGAAGGCACAAUCAUCUGUUGACUAGAAACCUAGUUUCAACUACGCUUAUUGAUUGAUUAAAUACUAUUAAUUCCAAGAUAUCUGCUUAUGUUUAAUAUAGUAAACCCGUUGUAUGUUAUAUACAACAAUCACUAUAUACGUAAUGGGCAUAAAAAGAAAUCAAAAUUAUUUUUAAAGAUAUUUCUUCACUUUGAAAGCUAACAAUCAUUCUGUCUAUCAAAUCUAUUCGUCUCUAUUAAAUUGUAUAACUAAUAACGUGGGAAAGACACAGUUCUGUGGCAUUUCGCCAACGUUCAUCUAUCGACUGAAAAUAUCAGUCCUGAAAAAUCCCUUCGCGGGAUUGCAAUCACAUUAUGGAAACGUUCCAACUUGGACGACCUAACAUAGUAGAAUAAAGCUAUAUUCUUGCGUGGUAACUGUUUACGGUUAUUCACACCUCUGCGCUGAUAUAACCGUCCCAUUCGCUCCCAAUGUAAUGAUAGCCUCACGUUUCUGAUGAAAAAGUUUCAUGGUGACUACAUUGAUUGAAACUUUUUCCGUGCAGCAAAAUUUUUUUUAUCUAUACUGAUCUUUUCAGAGUGCCGCAAAUCCGAAUACGAACAUGCGCUUGUUUAAGGCCUAUUGCGGCAUACCCUCUCAAUAUAGACAAGUUAACUGUUACCACUACUCAAGCACUACACAGAAUUUUCAGACAUCUUUAAAUCAAACAUCAUGCACACCCCAGAGCUGCCGAUUCUUCUCGCUCGCACCUAGAGAAUGCAACUCAUCUGCAUGGGAAUAACCUAUAUGCAUAUAUAUGUAUAUAUAUAUAGAACGUUUAUUCGAAAAUCUCGCUUUUGUUUGCUGAUAGUGACAAUUAAGCGGGCUAUAUGCAAUAAAGCUGUAAACAUCGAAAAUGUUGCUUCAACAACACUAUUGAUGUUGUUAAAUCAUGAUCCCACACGAAAAAUGCCAACUUGUCAGAAUUGAUGGUCCAGUAUUCUUUCCCAGUUGUUGAAUGCAUGUUCGACAUGAAGAAUAAUAUAAAAUUAUUAGUGCCAGAUCUGUUUUUGCUACUUGAAGUUUGAGUCUUCUGUCCAUUAAAUUCAAAGAGAACCUGACAAGAAUUUUCUCUUAUAAUUAAAUUUCUGUAGCCUUAUUGGAUGCACCAUGCAGCCCAGUGUGGUGCGUGUUUUUAAGGUAGAAUCCUGAACGUUCGUAUCAUCAGAAGUCUGUGGAGCGAA